rnacentral:rRNA from 1 species
ACGGGUGAGUAAUGUCUGGGAAACUGCCUGAUGGAGGGGGAUAACUACUGGAAACGGUAGCUAAUACCGCAUAACGUCGCAAGACCAAANAGGGGGACCUUCGGGCCUCUUGCCAUCAGAUGUGCCCAGAUGGGAUUAGCUAGUAGGUGGGGUAACGGCUCACCUAGGCGACGAUCCCUAGCUGGUCUGAGAGGAUGACCAGCCACACUGGAACUGAGACACGGUCCAGACUCCUACGGGAGGCAGCAUG